rnacentral:sRNA from 1 species
AUUUGUGGGAAUACGCUAGUGGUGCU